AUGGCUCACGGAUGAACGCUAGCGGCAGGCUUAACACAUGCAAGUCGAGGGGCAUCGGGAGUAGCAAUACUUGCCGGCGACCGGCGCAAGGGUGCGUAACGCGUGAGCAACAUGCCCGUAUCAGGGGGAUAAUCCAUGGAAACGUGGUCUAAUACCCCAUAGUAAUUAUGUAAGGCAUCUUAUAUAAUUUAAAGCUUUGGUGGAUACGGAUUGGCUCGCGUGACAUUAGGCUGGAUGGUAAGGUAACGGCUUACCAUGGCUACGAUGUCUAGGGGUUCUGAGAGGAAGGUCCCCCACACUGGAACUGAGACACGGUCCAGACUCCUACGGGAGGCAGCAGUGAGGAAUAUUGGACAAUGGAUGGAAAUCUGAUCCAGCCAUGCCGCGUGCAGGAAGACGGCCCUAUGGGUUGUAAACUGUCUUUUGUAUGGGAGCAAUAAGGGCUACGUGUAGUCCGAUGAGAGUACCAUACGAAUAAGCACCGGCUAACUCCGUGCCAGCAGCGGC
rnacentral:rRNA from 1 species